rnacentral:rRNA from 1 species
GACGAACCGAGCGAACGUUGUUCGGAAUCACUGGGCUUAAAGGGCGCGUAGGCGGGUGCUCAAGUCCGGGGUGAAAUCCCACAGCUCAACUGUGGAACUGCCUCGGAUACUGGGCGUCUCGAGGGUGGCAGGGGUAUGCGGAACUAUCGGUGGAGCGGUGAAAUGCGUUGAUAUCGAUAGGAACUCCGGUGGCGAAGGCGGCAUACUGGACCACCUCUGACGCUGAGGCGCGAAAGCCAGGGGAGCAAACGGG